ACUUGACCUCAAAUCAGGUAGGACUACCCGCUGAACUUAAGCAUAUCAAUAGCCGGAGGAAA
rnacentral:rRNA from 1 species